AUGAACGCUGGCGGCGUGCCUAACACAUGCAAGUCGAACGGAGAUCAUAGGAAUGCGACUUCGGUCAAAUGACUUUUGAACUUAGUGGCGGACGGUGAGUAACGCGUGGGUAACCUGCCUUAUACAGGGGGAUAGCAGCUGGAAACGGCUGGUAAUACCGCAUAAGCGCACAGCAUCGCAUGAUGAAGUGUGAAAAACUGAGGUGGUAUAAGAUGGACCCGCGUCUGAUUAGCUAGUUGGUGAGAUAACAGGCCCACCAAGGCGACGAUCAGUAGCCGACCUGAGAGGGUGACCGGCCACAUUGGAACUGAGACACGGUCCAAACUCCUACGGGAGGCAGCAGUGGGGAAUAUUGCACAAUGGGCGAAAGCCUGAUGCAGCAACGCCGCGUGAGCGAUGAAGGCCUUCGGGUCGUAAAGCUCUGUCCUCAAGGAAGAUAAUGACGGUACUUGAGGAGGAAGCCCCGGCUAACUACGUG
rnacentral:rRNA from 1 species